GAUGAAGAACGUAGCGAAAUGCGAUACUUGGUGUGAAUUGCAGAAUCCCGUGAACCAUCGAGUCUUUGAACGCAAGUUGCGCCUCAAGCCAUUAGGUUGAGGGCACGUCUGCCUGGGCGUCACAUAUCGUUGCCUGAUGCCAGUUUCCUCGUGAUGGGUGACUGUGCAGGGCGAAUGAUGGCUUCCCGUGAGCAUUGUUGCCUCAUGGUUGGUUGAAAAUUGAGUCCUUGGUAGGGAGCGCCGUGAUAGAUGGUGGUUGAGUGACGAACGAGACCCAAUCAUGUGAGACCCCUACCGAAUUUGGCCUUCAUGACCCACAUGCGUCUUUGGAACGCUCAUGACGAGACCUCAGGUCAGGCGGGGCUACCCGCUGAGUUUAAGCAUAUAAUAAGCGGAGGA
rnacentral:misc_RNA from 1 species